rnacentral:rRNA from 1 species
UACGGGGGGGGCAAGCGUUGUUCGGAAUUACUGGGCGUAAAGGGCUCGUAGGUGGCCAACUAAGUCAGACGUGAAAUCCCUCGGCUUAACCGGGGAACUGCGUCUGAUACUGGAUGGCUGGAGUGUGGGAGAGGGAUGCGGAAUUCCAGGUGUAGCGGUGAAAUGCGCAGAUAUCAGGAAGAACACCAAUGGCGAAAGCAGCUUUCUGGGACGGUACUGACGCUGAGACGCGAAAGCGUGGGGAGCGAACAGG